rnacentral:rRNA from 1 species
GUGCCAGCCGCCUGCGGUAAUACGGAGGGUGCAAGCGUUAUCCGGAUUUAUUGGGUUUAAAGGGUGCGUAGGCGGCCUUUUAAGUCAGCGGUGAAAUCCCACAGCUCAACUGUGGAACUGCCGUUGAUACUGGAAGGCUUGAGUAAAGUCGAGGCGGGCGGAACUGGUGGUGUAGCGGUGAAAUGCAUAGAUACCACCAAGAACCCCGAUUGCGAAGGCAGCUCGCUGGGCUUUAACUGACGCUGAGGCACGAAAGCGUGGGGAGCGAACAGGAUUAGAAACCCGGGUAGUCC